rnacentral:rRNA from 1 species
UACAGAGGAUGCAAGCGUUAUCCGGAAUCACUGGGCAUAAAGCGUCUGUAGGUGGUUCGGUAAGUCUGCUGUUAAAGACUAGGGCCUAACCCUAGAAAAGCAGUGGAAACUGCCAAACUUGAGUGUGGUAGAGGUAGAGGGAAUUCCUAGUGUAGCGGUGAAAUGCGUAGAUAUUAGGAAGAACACCAAUGGCGAAAGCACUCUACUGGGCCACAACUGACACUGAGAGACGACAGCUAGGGGAGCAAAUGGG